ACAGUCAUGAUUUUACCAUUUUCCCUUCUCUCAACAUCAUUUCUUUCAGUGUGCAUGAGUAUCCCUAUUCUUAGACGCAGAGGAGUGACGCUGAGAACUGCAAACACGGUUACCUAACUUGAGAACCACAGGGCUCCGAGGUGGGCGUUAGCGACACAGGCAUAGAGCUAUAGCUCUCUACCUUCAGGUCAGGGUUCAGGCCGCUCCACCUGCCUGCUUCUGCAGAGUAGAACAUAAGGCUUCAGCACGCAUACCAAGAGAGAGUAACAUCCAUCUCGUUAUUUACCUUUUAUUUCAAGUGACCACGAACCCUGGGGCAGGGGUGCUGCAAAACGAGGUUUUCAGGAAGGCUGCCUCGGGAACCACGCCGGCCUUCGUCAGCCCCCACUUUCGCUUUCCCCCACCACCCGAGGCCGACACAGGGGCCCGGACCCCUCCUCACCUGCGGCCGAGGGCCCUGAGCUGGGGACCCGAGGGCCGGGAUGCGGUGGGGAGCUCCGGUCCCAGGGGUGGCGGUGGCCACAGGUGGUUCACGCCUUGGGAACAGCCAGGCUCUGCUCUGCACACGCUGCUGGCGUCUCGUUACUU